AUUGAACGCUGGCGGAAUGCUUUACACAUGCAAGUCGAACGGCAGCACGGACUUCGGUCUGGUGGCGAGUGGCGAACGGGUGAGUAAUGUAUCGGAACGUGCCCAGUCGUGGGGGAUAACGUAGUGAAAAUUACGCUAAUACCGCAUACGAUCUAUGGAUGAAAGCGGGGGAUCGCAAGACCUCGCGCGAUUGGAGCGGCCGAUAUCAGAUUAGGUAGUUGGUGGGGUAAAGGGCCACCAAGCCAACGAUCUGUAGCUGGUCUGAGAGGACGACCAGCCACACUGGAACUUAGACACGGUCCAGAAUCCUACGGGAGGCAGCAGUGGGGAAUUUUGGACAAUGGGCGAAAGCCUGAUCCAGCCAUUCCGCGUGCAGGAUGAAGGCCCUCGGGUUGUAAACUGCUUUUGUACAGAACGAAAAGGUUUCUACUAAUACUAGGAGCUCAUGACGGUACUGUAAGAAUAAGCACCGGCUAACUACGUGCCAGCCGCCGCCGUAA
rnacentral:rRNA from 1 species